rnacentral:lncRNA from 1 species
GUUGUGGGAAACCGCGCUGGACGCUGAGAAUGUGCGGAAGGAUCCUGAGGGGAGGACGCGAGACAGCGCGAGGAGAGACGAGGAGAGUUAGGGUUGGCCGGGAGGGUGCGAAGAUGAAGCGACCACUGGAGGCUGUGAGGGUGAAAGGAGCAAGAAUCGUCUAGAGACGGGCUGGGCCGGUGCUGGGGCCAAAGGCUUCUGUCUGUCAGGCCCUUUUUGGCGCUCACUCUAGAAAGAAGAGGCGGAGACGCGAAGAGAUCGGAGUUCAACAAUUUUUAUGAAUUUCUAAUCCAACCUCAUCAUCCUAUGGGAAACAGAAGACCACCAAGAACAGCCAGCUGAGACAGAAUUUCACUGUGUUGCCCAAGCCAAUCUUAAACUCCUGGUCUCAAGCGAUCCUCCUGCCUUGGCCUCCCACUGUGCCUGGCCUAUGGACUCUGAAUUUUUUUAAAAGACUGGAAAAAACUUUUAUAAGAGAAUUGGAAAUUUGGACAGUAUCUUGGCAGUAACCUCCUCCAUAUAUUUCCUUGGCCCUCAGCUUACAUCUAGCAAAAUGACUCUACUGGUUCCAGGCUUCACAUGCAUACAACAUGGUGUUGGAGGAACAGAGAUGUUUUCUCUUCCUGGUGUUUUCCCAGACAUUUCUUAGCUGGCAUUUCAAACAAGGGUCCUGAAAUUCACCCUGGUUGGGUCGUGUUCUCCCCUUCCCAUUCCCCAUCCCCACCCUCAACCGAAAAAUGAUGUAAGCAGGGGAAAUUGAAUGUACCAAUGUUUGUUUUUAAACAAGCCACAGACCCCUCCCCAACUCCCCGACUGAAGCUUGAAGUGGGAUCAGCUUUCCCUAAAGUACUUGAGCUUAUGGUAAAGCAUAUAUGUUAUCCAAGUUAAAGUCUGGACGCUGUUAGUAAUGGGAAGGCAAGUAAUGAAUGUUAGCUAUGGAGCCAACAGACAGUGUCCACUCCAUUGUCUUUAAGGCCCAACUAAAGAUAACCUCUUUACCAAUGUCGGUUUAUUUAUUCAUUUAUUUAUUCAUUGAGAUGGAGUCUCACUCUCUCACCCAAGCUGGAGUGCAGUGGAAUGAUCUCAGCUGACUGCAAUUUCUGCCUCCCAGGUUCAAGCAAUCUCCUGCUUCAGCCUCCCAAGUAGCUGGGAUUACAGGCGCACACCACCAUGCCCGGCUAAUUUUUGUAUUUUUAGUAGAGAUAGGGUUUCACCAUGUUGGCCAAGCUGGUCUCGGACACCUGACCUCAAGUGAUCUGCCUGCCUCGGCCCCCAAAGGUGUGAGCCACUGCACCUGGCUACAAUGUCAGUUUCUAUAAAAACUGCCUUGACUUGUUUUGUUUGCUUGUUUUGUUUGUUUGUGUUUUAAUUUUUAUUAUUUUUUUUUAGAGACAGGGUCUCAAUCUGUUGUCUAGGCUUGAGUGCAGUGGUGCAAUCAUAGCUCACUGAAGUGUUGGACUCCCAGGCUCAAGCAGUCCUCCCACCUCAGCCUCCCAAGUAGCUGAGACUACAGGCAUGCACCACCCUGUCUGGCUAAUUUUUUAUUUUUAGUAGAGAUGAGGUCUCACUAUGUUGCCCAAGGUGGCCUCAAACUCCUGGCCUCAAGUACUCCUGUGGCCUUAGCCUCCCAAAGCUCUGGGAUUGCAGGUAUGAGCCGCCAUGCCUGGCCUACUGUAUAUUUUAUGCAUUUGAUAUAAGUCUUGCCUCCCUAAGUAUAUUACAAGUCCCUUGAAGUUAAAGACAUUAGAUUCCUACUCAGUGCUGAGCUGCAACAGAGAGCACUCAAUGAUGGAUAAAAUAGUUUUAGCAUGCAUUCAGCGAUAUAUAUUUAGAAAGUGGAACUAGGUGGUUGAAAAAAGUGUAUAGAUGGGUGGAAGGGAAUAUUACAGCUCUUAGAAUUGUCCUAAGGUGAGAGUAACAAAUUAAGCAAUGAGUCCCUGGGUUCACUCAAGCAACUUCACUCUCUAAAACAAGAGCCCACAGAAUCCCAUUUCUGCUUUCAGAAUGAGUUUGAGGCCAAUAUUAUUUCCAUUUUUUUUCUUUUUCUUUCUUUCUUUUUUUUUUUUUUUUUUUUGAGACGGAGUUUCACUCUUGUUGCCCAGGCUGUUUUGAUCUCGGCUCACUGCAACCUCUGCCCCUGGGUUCAAGCGAUUCUCCUGUCUCAACCUCCCAAGCUGGGAUUACAAGCAUGCGCUACCACACCUGGCUAAUUUUGUAUUUUUAAUAGAGACGGGGUUUCUCUGUGUUGGUCAGGCUGGUCUCAAACUCCCAACCUCAGGUGAUCUGCCCACCUUGGCCCAGCCUCCAAUAUGAUUUUCUAAUAGCUGUGUUUGAUGAUUAUAUUUAUUCCUCCAUCAGUAGCUUUUUUAGCCUUGAAAAUAUCUAUUUAAGUUUCUUAUUUCCUUUGGAUCUAUCAAAGUGUUUUUCCCCAAGUGGCACCUGGGAAAACAUAUUCUAUUCAUUUAUUUUAUAACUGUUCCCUUGACCUCUUUAUUGCUUCCCUAUUACAACCCAAGAUGCUCUUGUAAACCUGACUUAAUAUUGGCAGUCUUCAUCCCUUGCAAAUGGAAGUGAUGACAGACCCAAUACUUUGUGUAAAAAUAUUUUGCUAUUUCUAUACAAAAUAUUUUAUUAAUGGAAACCACAUGUUAUGUAUUUUACAUAUGUUAUGACUUGAAAUUUAUGUUAUGACUUGAAAUUGGGGAAUCUGAUAUGUCUCUAAUAAUAAAG